UUCUAUGAUGAUAAACCAAUAACAACAACAACUUGAAUUUCUUCAACCGAAACCUACAGGUGGAUACACUUUUGACAUAGCUUUUUAACACUGAUU
rnacentral:snoRNA from 1 species